rnacentral:rRNA from 1 species
UACGGGGGGGGCAAGCGUUGUUCGGAAUUACUGGGCGUAAAGGGCGCGUAGGCGGUGCUCUAAGUUAGAUGUGAAAACUCUGGGCUCAACCCAGAGCCUGCAUCUAAAACUGGAGUGCUAGAGUUCUGGAGGGGGUAGCGGAAUUCCUGGUGUAGCGGUGAAAUGCGUAGAUAUCAGGAGGAACACCGGUGGCGAAGGCGGCUACCUGGACAGAAACUGACGCUGAGGCGCGAAAGCCAGGGGAGCAAACAGG